UAGGAAUCCUAAUACUACUAGGACUCGGUUUGGCUUUCUUUCCUAAUCCUACAUGAGCAACAUGAUUAACAUCUACACACUGUUGGUCUCAUGAUUGCCGUUACCAACCUACUGCCUCCUACUGGUGCUGCCAAGGAACCACGGCGUCAAAUAACUAUCACUGACGGACAGAAAAAUGCAAAUGUUACACUUUGGGGCGAAUUUGCCCAGAAAUUUGAUGCAGACAACUUAUGCACUUUAUCAAAGAGGGAACCAGUUAUCAUAAUGUUUCUAGGCAUGCUAGCCGAUCAGUAUGGUGGAACACUAUCUCUUAAGAGUACUAUAUGUACAUGAUGGCACGUAAAUGUUGAUAUUCCCAAAAUGAAAACAGUAUUGAACAGGAUCAGCAGCCAACCAUAUGAAAUAGAAGUACGCAAUCCUGGGCAGGCACUACGAGAAAAGGUCGAAACAACUAUCAGUGCCUUGAAAGAAGUAGAUCCUGCUACCACCCUGAAAAAUUGGUUCAAAUUCAAAGUCAAAAUAAUUCGAGUAGUAUCUCUUACGGACUGGAUGUAUAUGGGUUGCAAAAUUUGUUGGAAAGGACUAACAAUACCAGGCGGUGGUUUACACAGCUGUCCUAACUGUCCUGAUGGAAAGGACUAAGCCUCCCACCUCCUUUGAACUACAUUUCUCGCUUAGCUAUCUCUGGUCUAUCAGUUUGUUCUGCAGUUGAUCCCCCAUGUACGAGCAUAACCUUAAUCUAUAAUCCUCAGAUGUAAUGACAUCCUACUACUUCUGUUUAU